rnacentral:rRNA from 1 species
GAGUUUGAUCCUGGCUCAGGAUGAACGCUAGCGGCAGGCUUAACACAUGCAAGUCGAGGGGUAACAGGGAUUGCUUGCAAUCCGCUGACGACCGGCGCACGGGUGCGUAACGCGUAUGCAACCUACCUUCUACAGGGGGAUAGUCAAUAGAAAUGUUGAAUAAUACCCCAUACGAUCUUUGAAUAGCAUUAUUUAAAGAAGAAAGCUCCGGCGGUAGAAGAUGGGCAUGCGUCCUAUUAGUUAGUUGGUAAGGUAACGGCUUACCAAGACUUCGAUAGGUAGGGGUCCUGAGAGGGAGACCCCCCACACUGGUACUGAGACACGGACCAGACUCCUACGGGAGGCAGCAGUGAGGAAUAUUGGACAAUGGAGGCAACUCUGAUCCAGCCAUGCCGCGUGCAGGAAGACUGCCCUAUGGGUUGUAAACUGCUUUUAUACAGGAAGAAAUAUACCUACGUGUAGGUAUUUGACGGUACUGUACGAAUAAGGAUCGGCUAACUCCGUGCCAGCAGCCGCGGUAAUACGGAGGAUCCAAGCGUUAUCCGGAAUCAUUGGGUUUAAAGGGUCCGUAGGCGGUCUUUUAAGUCAGAGGUGAAAUCCUACAGCUCAACUGUAGAAUUGCCUUUGAUACUGAAAGACUUGAGUUAUUGUGAAGUAGUUAGAAUGUGUGGUGUAGCGGUGAAAUGCAUAGAGAUCACACAGAAUACCGAUUGCGAAGGCAGAUUACUAACAAUAUACUGACGCUGAAGGACGAAAGCGUGGGUAGCGAAAA